ACUUGGAAGUAACUCUUACUAUUUAUUUUGCUGAUUUAUUAUAUUCUAACUGUAGAGAUUUUGUGUUCUUUAACAUGCAGCAAGAAGAAGCCAGUUGCAGGGACUCUAUGUGAGGCUACCUUACUCUUUAGGAUCCCAGAGGCACAAUGGAAGGCACUGCCUGUUAGGCAGAGGAAGAAGGAGAUCUAUGUUCUUGUGUGGAAUUUGAGAUCUACAGCAUAAAGACUUGCUCUUGCUAACCAGAGCAACAUAAAGAUGU
rnacentral:lncRNA from 1 species